GUCUAUAAAAACAUUUAAAGCAAUCAUAGUAAAUCAUAAUCAAAAUAGGAACAGCAUAGCGUUGGAUAUAUGAAACAACAAUUGAUUGAAAGAAAAUACAUGAGACAGAUCUGUUGAGAUAUGUCUUUCACCGAUUUAAAUUUUGGACUUCGUCGAAGCUCGCUUGGUUGGAGUUGUUGUUGUAAUGGGUUGCCUUUUUAUUCGUCGAUUGGAAUUGUUGCAUGAUUGUCCGUAUCUGGUCGCUGUCGGGAGAAGAGAGGAGACGAAAGCAGCGCUAUUUCACCUUGUUGUUGUUAUUUCACCGGAGAAAGAGAGAAGAGAGGGGGCGUCGGAGCUCACUUGUUGCUCGCCAUCGCAUCUAUUGCUGGUUCUCGAAGCUAUUUUUUUCGUUGGUGUUGUUGUUGGUUGGUGGUCCUCGUGAUUGGCUAUUGGUUUUCGCCGAUGGCCUCGCGUGGCUGCUCGUUGUUGGAAAGACGAGAGGGAGGCGGUGAUUUUCUUCUUCGUUCUCGUCCGAGAGAAGAGACGAGAGGGAGCAAGGAAAGGAUAGGGUAAGAGAGAGGAGCGAGGGAGAGGUAAGAGGAAAACAGAGGAGGAGUGGCGGUGGUCUGCGGCUGUUGGUCUCGCCAACAAUGGCGAUUCUCAUUGGAAGACGGUAAGGACCCAGGUUUG
rnacentral:misc_RNA from 1 species